rnacentral:rRNA from 1 species
UACGUAGGAGACGAGCGUUGUCCGGAGUUACUGGGCGUAAAGGGUGCGCAGGUGGCGGCGCGCGUGGGGGUGAAAUCGCCCGGCUUAACUGGGCAGGGGCCUCCAGACGGCGUGGCUUGAGCAGCGGAGGGGGACGUGGAAUUCCGGGUGGAGCGGUGAAAUGCGUAGAGAUCCGGAGGAACACCGACGGCGCAGGCAGCGUGCCUGGCCGCUUGCUGACACUGAGGCACGAAGCUGGGGGAGCAAACAGG